rnacentral:rRNA from 1 species
CCUACGGGAGGCAGCAGUGGGGAAUAUUGGUCAAUGGACGAAAGUCUGAACCAGCCACGUAGCGUGAAGGAUGACUGCCCUAUGGGUUGUAAACUUCUUUUAUAUGGGAGUAAAGUGGUCCACGUGUGGUAUUUUGUAUGUACCAUAUGACUAAGGAGCGGCUAACUCCGUGCCAGCAGCCGCGGUAAUACGGAGGAUCCGAGCGUUAUCCGGAUUUAUUGGGUUUAAAGGGAGCGUAGGUGGAUUGUUAAGUCAGUUGUGAAAGUUUGCGGCUCAACCGUAAAAUUGCAGUUGAAACUGGCAGUCUUGAGUACAGGAGAGGUCGGCGGAAUUCGUGGUGUAGCGGUGAAAUGCUUAGAUAUAACGAAGAACACCGAUUGCGAAGGCAGCUCACUGGACUGCAACUGACACUGAGGCGCGAAAGCGUGGGUAGCAAACAGGAUUAGAUACCCGUGUAGUC